rnacentral:lncRNA from 1 species
GUAUAUUUACUUUUACUACCAACUGAUAAAUUAAAACAAUCUUUACCAUUCAGUGAUAACAAGCACUUUAUUUUACAUUUUAAUAUUUUAUGAUGUAUUUAAAUGAGUAGUUAUUGUUGCAAACUCCAUUAGAAAUUUGAAUUGAGAUCAGUUUUGGAAAAAGGGAAAGGGGGAUGUGAAAAAAUUAAAUUUUUCUCAUUUCAGAUUUCAUAAAUAAAAAGAAAAAUUCUUCAAACAUUUUUUUGAGAGGAUUAAUAUUCAACAGCAUAGUGAAUUGCUCAAAGGCAAAAAAAUAUUUUAAGUUCAUUAGACCACAUUCAUUCUGUGUCAGAAACCUAUGCUGUGUCAACUAUUUAAUCACAAUCCAAAUUUAGAGCUGAAUCCAACUUGAAUGUUGUGUCCAUACUUGCCCCAACCGUUCAGGGUUCAACCUCUGCGGUCGUAUAAAGCUGCGCCCUGUGGAGCAUCUGGUUUCAUUUAGGUUAU